rnacentral:tRNA from 1 species
GUUAAUGUAGCUUAAAUUUUAAAGCAAGGCACUGAAAAUGCUUAGAUGAAUCUCCUGAUUCCAUAAACA